rnacentral:rRNA from 1 species
AUGGUAUCAGUGGUAGGGGAGCGUUCUAAGUGCAGUGAAGUCAGACCGGAAGGACUGGUGGAGCGCUUAGAAGUGAGAAUGCCGGUAUGAGUAGCGAAAGACGGGUGAGAAUCCCGUCCACCGAAUGCCUAAGGUUUCCUGAGGAAGGCUCGUCCGCUCAGGGUUAGUCAGGACCUAAGCCGAGGCCGACAGGCGUAGGCGAUGGACAACAGGUUGAUAUUCCUGUACCACCUCUUUAUCGUUUGAGCAAUGGAGGGACGCAGAAGGAUAGAAGAAGCGUGCGAUUGGUUGUGCACGUCCAAGCAGUUAGGCUGAUAAGUAGGCAAAUCCGCUUAUCGUGAAGGCUGAGCUGUGAUGGGGAAGCUCCUUAUGGAGCGAAGUCUUUGAUUCCCCGCUGCCAAGAAAAGCUUCUAGCGAGAUAAAAGGUGCCUGUACCGCAAACCGACACAGGUAGGCGAGGAGAGAAUCCUAAGGUGUGCGAGAGAACUCUGGUUAAGGAACUCGGCAAAAUGACCCCGUAACUUCGGGAGAAGGGGUGCUUUCUUAACGGAAAGCCGCAGUGAAUAGGCCCAAGCGACUGUUUAGCAAAAACACAGGUCUCUGCGAAGCCGUAAGGCGAAGUAUAGGGGCUGACACCUGCCCGGUGCUGGAAGGUUAAGGAGAGGGGUUAGCGUAAGCGAAGCUCUGAACUGAAGCCCCAGUAAACGGCGGCCGUAACUAUAACGGUCCUAAGGUAGCGAAAUUCCUUGUCGGGUAAGUUCCGACCCGCACGAAAGGUGUAACGAUUUGGGCACUGUCUCAACCAGAGACUCGGUGAAAUUAUAGUACCUGUGAAGAUGCAGGUUACCCGCGACAGGACGGAAAGACCCCGUGGAGCUUUACUGUAGCCUGAUAUUGAAUUUUGGUACAGUUUGUACAGGAUAGGCGGGAGCCAUUGAAACCGGAGCGCUAGCUUCGGUGGAGGCGCUGGUGGGAUACCGCCCUGACUGUAUUGAAAUUCUAACCUACGGGUCUCAUCGACCCGGGAGACAGUGUCAGGUGGGCAGUUUGACUGGGGCGGUCGCCUCCUAAAGUGUAACGGAGGCGCCCAAAGGUUCCCUCAGAAUGGUUGGAAAUCAUUCGUAGAGUGCAAAGGCAUAAGGGAGCUUGACUGCGAGACCUACAAGUCGAGCAGGGACGAAAGUCGGGCUUAGUGAUCCGGUGGUUCCGCAUGGAAGGGCCAUCGCUCAACGGAUAAAAGCUACCCCGGGGAUAACAGGCUUAUCUCCCCCAAGAGUCCACAUCGACGGGGAGGUUUGGCACCUCGAUGUCGGCUCAUCGCAUCCUGGGGCUGUAGUCGGUCCCAAGGGUUGGGCUGUUCGCCCAUUAAAGCGGUACGCGAGCUGGGUUCAGAACGUCGUGAGACAGUUCGGUCCCUAUCCGUCGUGGGCGCAGGAAAUUUGAGAGGAGCUGUCCUUAGUACGAGAGGACCGGGAUGGACGCACCGCUGGUGUACCAGUUGUUCUGCCAAGGGCAUAGCUGGGUAGCUAUGUGCGGAAGGGAUAAGUGCUGAAAGCAUCUAAGCAUGAAGCCCCCCUCAAGAUGAGAUUUCCCAUAGCGUAAGCUAGUAAGAUCCCUGAAAGAUGAUCAGGUUGAUAGGUUCGAGGUGGAAGCAUGGUGACAUGUGGAGCUGACGAAUACUAAUAGAUCGAGGACUUAACCAU